CACGGCAGUGAAAGCACCGUGUCCUAAGCACUGGACUGCCAGCCCGUGCUGUGUGGGAGGGACCACAAGAGGCCUGGAUGUUGUCAAGCAAAGGCUUGAACCAGCCAAAGAGCCGAUGAUGUUGACAAGAAGGGGACCUCAGCAAGGCAGAUAAUCAGAAACUGACGAUUGACAGCCCUUUAGCAUCCACACCCCCACCGACCCCUGCUCAAUCAGGCACGUACACGAGCUUGACGACAAAUAACAAACUGUAACAUGUUCUAAUUUUCACAUGCAUUUGUUCACUUCUCAGAGCAAACAUAAGAUGCAUCCAAGGCUGGGCUUAUUACAGAAAAAAAAGUUUCUGAGACUAGAACCCAAGUGUCCUGCUCAAUUUCAUGUAAUGAAAUUUAUGCAGGGCUGACUACGGACCAUGUCCUCUGUGCACUAUUUCAUGACUAUUAACUCAUCUCUUUUCCACCACCAUACGAACUAGGUAUUAAUCUUCUCCACGUACGUUUUUUAAGGUGAGGAAACUGAGGCAUAGUCGUGAAGCAUCUUACCCAAGGUCACACAGACGGCAAAUGGCCGGGCAGGGAUUACGAAGCCAGCCGCCCAGCCCGGAGUCUGUGCGUCAUCGCUCCGCCAGGGGCUCCAGCCGGGAAUACCACAGACGGUUUGCCAUGGAUCAAGACUCCUCUGGAGAAAGCCCACAGGAAGGCUGCUGUGAGAAAUGAAGUCCCUUGCUGUUUCCCCGAUUUCCUCAUCAAGAGGCGCCAAAUGAAGUCACUGCACGUUUGAACGGGGGCCAUCAAAGCGCGGCCUCUGACCAGUUCAGAGGCAGACGUGGGCUUGGGCAGCUGGUGACUGAACGGCGGCGGCAUGGAAAACCUGAGGGGCUCCCCAUUGGAAGAGAGAGGCUUUGGACCAAAGAAUGGGGGACAACUCUCUACGGAUGGUUUUUACUGAGGGAUGAGGAAUCACCGCCUGUAGCUCCCUGGAAAGCAGAAUCCAGAGGUGGUGCAGGUCAGGGAGAUCAGCUCGGUGC